GAAACUAAAAUGGAGCUUGAUUGUCCCGUGACUAGAUACGUGAGUCCGCUAGAACAUGUUCCAUGCAUACUAGGUCCGUGCUCCUGUCAUGUGUACACGUUUUAGUCCGAAAUAGAGCUCAUCGAGCCAGAUCGAUGACUUUCUUCUAUGAAGAGUGUUCCUAACAGGGGAUAGCUAGUCAUUGGAGGUUUUUAACAGGAAUAUUAAUAAUCGCCAAACUCUUUGAGUUAACCUCGUAGAUGCCAUGAAACUGACGCAUAUUAGAGCUGGGCAGAGAAGGUGGUAGGUAAAAUUGAGUCGUGCAUACUGCCUGAGUUGUAAUUUCAUGA
rnacentral:lncRNA from 1 species